UACAAGGGGGCUAGCGUUGCUCGGAAUCACUGGGCGUAAAGGGUGCGUAGGUGGCGUCGUAAGUCGGGUGUGAAAUUUCGGAGCUUAACUCCGAAACUGCCUUUGAUACUGGCGAUCUCGAGUUCGGGAGAGGUGAGUGGAACUGCGAGUGUAGAGGUGAAAUUCGUAGAUAUUCGCAAGAACACCAGUGGCGAAGGCGGCUCACUGGCCCGAUACUGACGCUGAGGUGCGAAAGCGUGGGGAGCAAACAGGG
rnacentral:rRNA from 1 species